AUGGGCUCGCUUUGCCUCGGGUCGCCCUGCCAGCAGCACGCACGAGUCCACCGGUCACAGUCGGACUACGGUCAAGCCCGCUUCGUGCAUUCCUCGCCGUCUGCGAACCGCAAGCUCAGCGUUUGCUCGUCGUCCACUGCCUACUCGACAACCGGCGGCAAGCUCGCGCUGAACUUCAAGGGCUUGAGCUAUGAGUACGAGGAAGAGGACCUUGCCAACAAAAGCGAUCUUCUCCUCGAGUCCAACCCGGUGAACAAGAAGGUGCCCGUGUUCAUCCACAACGGUGUGCCCAUCUACAAAUCGCUCGCCAUGUUGGAGUACAUCGACGAGGUCUACCGUGGGAUGGGAUCAUCCCUCCUCCCCGCCGACCCCUACCAACGCGCUAGGGCUUGA
rnacentral:rRNA from 1 species